AAACUUACCGUGAGGAAAGGGGAGGGGAGGGAUAAAUUGGGAAAUUGGGAUUGACAUAUACACACCACGAUAUAUAAAAUAUAUAACUAAUAAGAACCUGCUUUAUAGCACAGGAAACUGUCCUCAAUACGCUAAUGAUUUUUUGGGAAAAGAAUCUGAAAAGAGUGGAUAUAUGUAUAUGUAUAACUAAUUCACUUUGCUAUAUAUCUGAAAUUAACGCACCAUUAUAAAUCAAUUAUACUCCAAUAAUUUUUUUUUUUUAAGUGACAGUCGGUGACUUUCAGGACAGCUAAACCUCAGAACAGAAUUUAACUGCAUUUGAAAAAUAUGUUUGAAAUAAUCUGACUGUAAAUAAAGAAAGGGCAUAUGGGUUCACAAGGGCUUCCCAGGUGGCAGAGUGGUAAAGAACCUGCUUGGCCAAUGCAGGAGACAUGGGUUCAAUUCCUGGUCUGGGAGGAUCCCCUGGAGGAGGAAAUGGAAACCCACUCCAGUAGUCUUGCCUGGGAAAUCCCAUGGACAGAGGAGCCUGGCGGGCUGCAGUCCAUGAGGUCGCAAAGAGUUGGAUGUUACUGAGCACACACACAGGAGGUUCACAGACGUAUGCUGAGCUUUCCUGACAGGUGCCUCAAAAAGACAGCAACUUAUGUCAGAACAGCAGGAACUGUACAAGAGGCCCAAAUCUCUGACGAUAGGAAACCCAGGUAAUAUACAAUGAUGGGCUGUGCAUGGAGAAAACCAAAGGGAGUUUCAAAUAUGAGCGCCAAAUUAAAAUACCAUGACUGCAAAUCCGGGUUUGCCAGCUUACCACUUCCAGUGUGGCAGUUUCGUGCAGCUUGCCCUAGGGGUCAGCAGCAGGGAGCUUAUUCAAGGGUCUGCAGGAUCUUACUGAAGGCAGGUUAACAAUUUCCCCAAACAAUGCAGCACUGAAGGGAAAGGCGGGAGAGCUUAGAUGGUGACUGACAAACAGCUCGAGUUCCAGAGUCACGGCCACAGUCACGUGGAGGGGGCAGACGGAGCUUUCCCGUAAAAGAUGGCGCUUCCUCACCUUGCCGGAAUGAUACAGCCUGAAGGAAGAUAGGAAUUCCUGUGAAGUUCAGACCUUGACCCCAAUCGGGCAAAGCUUCUAAACCUUAGGUCUUUAUCAUCUUUCGCCUGUUUCUGUUUCCCAUCAUCUAAUGGAAUGCCCAUUAAUGUACUUUGUGGAUCCCACAGAGAUGAUAUCAAGAAUAUUGAACAUGUCUUUGAACAUAACUUUGUAAACUUGAACCUAACUUUGGAAAUUAGUUUCUAGUAAGGAAGUUCACGUAAAGCCAGCAGUGUUGAUUUCUUCCUUCAGAUGCUUUUGUCCUUUUCCUUCCAAGGGGAAAACAUUCGUUGAUUUUUCCCUCUCAUCCUUUAUCAAUUUUUUGAGGGGGGCCCCCCUGUGUCGCAUAGCAUGUAGGAUCUUAAUUCCCAGAGCAGGGAUUGAACUUGUGCCCUCCACAGUCGAAGCACUGAGUCUUAACCACUGGAUCACCAUGGAAGCCCUUCCACUUACCCUUUAUUUUCACAAAGUAGGAAAUGUAAAAGCGCAUGUAAAUAUGUAUGUUUGAAAUCAUCAGGAGUUGGCAUCUCUACGUCAGCAGUACAGCCAAGUUCAUUUUCUGUUGGUUUCUUUUCAGUUUUCUUUUUUGUUUUGUUUUGUUUUGGGAAAGCAACAACGGCACUUUGCUUCCCCUUGUACUAUUUCCAAAGCCUCGGCAAGGAUCUUUGGUGAGAAAUUAGGCCUUCGGGAGAGAUGAGGGCCUAUAUGUAUUCAUCUUUCCAGAACCUUCCCUGGCCUAGUCAUGGGACCUCAUGUGUGAAGGACCCUGCACACUGGCCUUGCUGCAUCUACAUGAAGAACAUUUGCCUUGCACCUCCUUAUGUGGGCCAUAUUUCCCCGGGAGACUUUUUUCCUCAUCUUGCGUUCCUUUAUUUAUGCAGGUGUGAGCAGUACAAGUAGCUGUUGUAUAAGAGAACUAAUUAUUUUUCUAAGUAGGUACUAUUUCCUGCCAGCCUGUUUUUGCCAGCAGUCAAUGGAAACGGCUGUGUGUCCACAACGCAAGGACUGCUUUAGCUCCGUUGAUCACACGUAAGAACUCACUGAUUCCCCAAGAAUGUAUCAGUGGAACUCCAGAGGCCUCCAAUCUCCAGUCUGCUCCAGUCCUGCUUUGGGCCAUUCGGGGAUCUUCCUGACCCAGGGAUCGAAUCUGCGUAGAGAUUCUUUACCACUGCGCUGCCUUGGCAUCUCCCUGCACAAUCUAAAGGAGGCAAAUUGGAAAUCUACUGGCCGAAGCAAUGCAGCCAUCCUCCGUGAUCUGGGUUUGUUGUCGCUGAUCCUGAAGGUUUUAAGGCCUCCUGCAUCCAAGAAGUCUCCUCUGGGAAGUUCCUUCCUUCCUUUGAUGUCUCGCCUGGCAGGAGCUUUUCAGGUAGAGGGAGAAGGAGCUGAGUCAGAACUGAGUAUGAGAGCCACUCUCCCAUGAAUGGGAGGAGUCUUCCAUUUGUGGGUGAAGGGUGCUUUUGCUGAAGGCCGCAUGGUAGAAGCGCACCUCGCCUUAAGUAAACGGGCCACCUGCUCAGCACAUUUGCUAUAGUAAUUUUUGCACGUGCGUGAUUUCAAAGUUAUUUUUAUUAAAUGUCUGACGAAUGUGCUUUGUGUGUGUGUGUGUGUGUGUGUGUGUGUGUGUGAAGUCUGUCAAGUUUUUCUGGAGCCAUCAGAAAUUUUAGAUUCUUUUCAAAAGUCUAAACCCUUGCUUGGCCGUGCCCUCCCCUCCCCGCCUCCCUUAAUCCACCCCGCUGGCCUGACCAGUUUCCCAGGGACAAAGCCUUUAUAAUGGGGAUUUCUCUGCCCUUUUGUUAGAGUGUCUAUAUGGUAAUUUCCUUUAGGUAAUUCAGUAUAGCUCCUGUAGUACUCUAAUGCUGUAAAGAUGAAGAAUUAGCUGUGACAUUCUCUAGUUAGACUCAGUGACCUGUGAGGUUUUUUUUUUAAUUUGCGUAAAAAAGGUUAAAAAAUUAUUUCUGUUACUGACAUUGGUGGCACUUGCGAUGUGUCAUUGUUAGCAGAUGCCCCUCUCUCCAUGGUCCCAGGGGGAUAGAGAAAGAAAGGCACUCUGGGUAAGAGCCAGGUGGCAUGAACGAAGGUUUGGAGGCAAGGACAGCUGUGCAUGAGAACUGGAGAGCAGGUGAGCAGUUAGAGAGGGCGUGCAUGUUCAGUCGCUCAGUCAUGUCCCACUCUUUGCGACUCUAUGGGCUGUAGCCCACCAGGCUCUGUCCAUGGGAUUCUCCAGGCAAGAAUACUGGAGUGGGUAGCCUUUCUCUUCUUCAGGGGAUCUUCCCAACCCAGGGAUCGAACCCAGGUCUCCUGCAUUGCAGCUGGAUUCUUUACCAUCUGAGCCACCAGGGAAGCCCCAGUAUACCGGACUGGGUAACCUACCCCUUCUACAGGGGUCUUCCCGACCCAGAAAUCGAACCCGCGUCUCCUGCAUUGCAGGCGGAUUCUUUACUCACUGAGCCACGUGGGAAGCCCUAUAAAGGGCACAGAGGCAAAGAAAGAGGAAAGGGAGUUUAAGGCCAGGUGGACCUGGGCUUUGGAUAUCCUGCUAAGGAGUUUGGAAUUUUUAUUUAGGCAGUGAGAAGUCAUCACAGAUAUUUAUAUGUGUGACGUGAUUUCAGAAUAUGGUUCUGUUAACAAAAGGAGUGAGUAGACUGGAGGACAGAGAGAAACUGGGGGCAGGAAAACCAAUUAGGAAGCAAUUGCAAUUGUUGAAGAAAAUGAUGCUCUUCACCACAAUAGUUCUGUUCCUAAAAUAAUGAACUAAUCAUCUUGCUUCGUUUUAUUCUUCUUAUUUCUGAGGCUAGAAAAAUCACUUCGCCCUUCUGCGACUCAAAAUCCUUCCCUAUUAAUAGAAGAUGACAAAAUCCUUAUCUUACCUCACACCGGGAGGUACUGAGAGAUGCUUGUAAUUGUAGCCAGGAAAGGAGGGGGGAACGUUCUUCUAAAUGCCAGUGAUGUCAUUUCUCUCCAGGAGGGAAAUUGCCUUUUGCCUCUAACUUUUUAUUAUGAAAAUUUCAGACCUGCAGAAAAGUUGAAAGUGGAGUAAAAGCAUCCUAGCUAAGCUUCUAAAGAAGUUCCACUACUCAAGAAGUGGUGUUUCUAAUACAUGCAACAAGUGGGAUUACAAACACUGUUCCUUAAAGUGAAGUUUUGUUAAUAAAUAAAUGAAUACGG